rnacentral:rRNA from 1 species
AGCGAACGCUGGCGGCAGGCCUAACACAUGCAAGUCGAACGAACUCUUCGGAGUUAGUGGCGGACGGGUGAGUAACACGUGGGAACGCGCCUUUAGGUUCGGAAUAACUCAGGGAAACUUGUGCUAAUACCGAAUGUGCCCUUCGGGGGAAAGAUUUAUCGCCUUUAGAGCGGCCCGCGUCUGAUUAGCUAGUUGGUGAGGUAACGGCUCACCAAGGCGACGAUCAGUAGCUGGUCUGAGAGGAUGACCAGCCACACUGGGACUGAGACACGGCCCAGACUCCUACGGGAGGCAGCAGUGGGGAAUCUUGCGCAAUGGGCGAAAGCCUGACGCAGCCAUGCCGCGUGAAUGAUGAAGGUCUUAGGAUUGUAAAAUUCUUUCACCGGGGACGAUAAUGACGGUACCCGGAGAAGAAGCCCCGGCUAACUUCGUGCCAGCCGCCCGCAGUAAGAC